GCCCGCCUAGCUCAAUCGGAUAGAGCGUCAGACUCUUAUGGCGGGUGCGAUCUGAAGGCUGCGAGUUCGACCCUCGCGGUGGGCU